GGAAGCCCAAGUAGCUACCCAGAGAGGUCAACACUGGGGAGAAAUGUGGUUCUGGCCAACAGCAGCAACUGAACACCCACAGCAUGGAGCAAGCCAUAUGAGUUAGCUGUCAUGGAGUGAGUGCUCCGCCCAGUUGAACUGUUCCAGUGACACCAGGCCACCUCUGUCCAGCCUGAAGGGGGACUGAGACAUCCAGAAAGCUGCCUGAUGAAGAAACUGAGUCAAAGGCACAUAGAAGAAAAGUGGCCUGGAAAGUCAACAACUAAAUUAGAAUGCAAGGACAGCAGGGGAUUUAGCUCAGUGGUUCCGCUGCCUGCCUGGCAAGCGCAAGAUCCCAAGUUCGAUCCCUGGUACAAAAAGAAGCAUGCAAGGACAGCCAACUCCAAGGGUCAAAAGAAACCAGUCUGGGUAAGGACAGGAGAGUAUAUGAUUGCAUCCAUCCUUUCCACCAAAUGAUUAAGUGUGCAGUCUGUUAAAAAACAUUUGGAUCACUACAAGCCUAACCCCAAAUCUUCUGAGUCUCAUAAAUCUCAGAUAUGAUCUUAUCUCAGGUAAUAGAAGCUGAGUUCAUUAAAAAGACUUGUUAACCUCAUUAGGCAACUGAGCUAAGUACACAUUCUGAGCUGAAGGAUGUGUGAGUGAGCAAGCAGGUGGGGCCAGGAGGCUCACUCUCCCAGAGAGCUGUGGCUGCUGGUGAUUUGUUUUAGAAAGCUG
ensembl:lncRNA